rnacentral:rRNA from 1 species
GAUCCUGGCUCAGGACGAACGCUGGCGGCGUGCUUAACACAUGCAAGUCGAACGGGAUUUAGUAAACAGAAGCCUCGGUGGAAGAUUACUAAUGAGAGUGGCGAACGGGUGAGUAACGCGUGAGCAACCUGCCUAUGACAGUGGGAUAGCCUCGGGAAACCGGGAUUAAUACCGCAUAAAAUCGUAGAAACACAUGUUUUAACGGUCAAAGAUUUAUCGGUCAUAGAUGGGCUCGCGUCUGAUUAG